rnacentral:rRNA from 1 species
GAUGAACGCUGGCUACAGGCUUAACACAUGCAAGUCGAGGGGAAACGACGGGGAAGCUUGCUUCCCCGGGCGUCGACCGGCGCACGGGUGAGUAACGCGUAUCCAACCUGCCUCUGACUGAGGGAUAACCCGUCGAAAGUCGGCCUAAUACCUCAUGGUAUCGUCUGCGGGCAUCCAACGACGAUUAAAGAUUUCAUCGGUCAGGGAUGGGGAUGCGUCUGAUUAGCUUGUUGGCGGGGUAACGGCCCACCAAGGCUACGAUCAGUAGGGGUUCUGAGAGGAAGGUCCCCCACAUUGGAACUGUGCCCCGGGCCAAACUCAUACGGGAGGGAGCAGUGAGGAAUAUUGGUCAAUGGGCGAGAGCCUGAACCAGCCAAGUAGCGUGCAGGAAGACGGCCCUAUGGGUUGUAAACUGCUUUUAUGCGGGGAUAAAGUGAGGGACGUGUCCCUCAUUGCAGGUACCGAAUGAAUAAGGACCGGCUAAUUCCGUG